UACAGAGGUGGCAAGCGUUGUUCGGAAUUACUGGGCGUAAAGGGCGCGUAGGCGGUCUUGUAAGUUCCGUGUGAAAUCCCUCGGCUCAACUGAGGAACCGCACGGAAAACUGCUUGGCUUGAGUUCGGGAGAGGGAAGCGGAAUUCCGGGUGUAGCGGUGAAAUGCGUAGAUAUCCGGAGGAACACCGGUGGCGAAGGCGGCUUCCUGGACCGACACUGACGCUGAGGCGCGAAAGCUAGGGGAGCAAACAGG
rnacentral:rRNA from 1 species